rnacentral:rRNA from 1 species
AUGAAGGCCUUAUUUUGGAAUAUUAGGGGUUUCGGCGCUAGGGGGCGCAGGGACCAGCUUAAAGAUCUUGUUCGCUCUGAGAACAUAGACAUCAUUGGCCUUGUUGAAACACUUAAACCUUCCUUCUCCUCGAAUGAACUCUCUGUUGUGGCUGGGAUCAAUAGGUUUGACUGGAAUCUUUUGCCUUCUUCUGGCCACUCGGGUGGAAUACUUCUUGGCACCAAAAGAGAUAUGUUCGAUUUUGUUGCCUUUGAUUAUGGUAUUUUUUGGGCCAGUACUGUAGUUUCUCACCGCUCCCUCAAUAUGCUCUUGGAAGUUAUGGUUGUUUAUGGCCCGGCUGAUCACUCUCUUUCUCAUAUCUUCUUGGAUGAAAUUCUGAAUAAGAUAGAGUCUUGUGACCUCCCUCUGCUUAUUGCCGGCGACUUUAAUCUGAUGCGUUCUCCUCUGGAUAAAAAUUUGCCUAAUUUUUCUUGGCCGCUUGCUGACGCGUUUAACGCUUUUAUUCGGGAUUCUGCUAUCCGCGAAACACCUAGGGUUGGUGCCCGAUACACCUGGACGAACCACCAAACGGCUCCCAUCUGUUCUGUUCUUGAUCGUGUUUUUAUAUGUCCCAGGUGGGACUCAUUGCUUCCUCGGGCCUCCCUGCGGGCCUUGCCCAUCGUGGGGACUGACCACGCGCCCUUGAUUCUUGACGAUGGGAUUCGCUCUGUCUCUUUCCGCGAUUUCAGUUUGAUGCGUCUUGGCUCCUGGUUGAUGGUUUUGCUGACCUGA